AAAUCUUAUUAACAUUAAACUGCAAAUUUAAUAAAGAAAUUUAUUUUUCUAAGAUUU
rnacentral:tRNA from 1 species